rnacentral:rRNA from 1 species
ACUGCGAGUGAAGCGGGAAAAGCUCAAAUUUAAAAUCUGGCAGUCUCUGGCUGUCCGAGUUGUAAUCUAGAGAAGUGUUAUCCGCGCUGGACCAUGUACAAGUCUCCUGGAACGGAGCGUCAUAGAGGGUGAGAAUCCCGUCUUUGACAUGGACUACCAGGGCUUUGUGAUGCGCUCUCAAAGAGUCGAGUUGUUUGGGAAUGCAGCUCAAAAUGGGUGGUAAAUUCCAUCUAAAGCUAAAUAUUGGCGAGAGACCGAUAGCGAACAAGUACCGUGAGGGAAAGAUGAAAAGAACUUUGGAAAGAGAGUUAAACAGUACGUGAAAUUGUUGAAAGGGAAACGCUUGAAGUCAGUCGCAUUGGCCAGGGAUCAACCUUACAUUUUGUUGGGUGUACUUUCUGGUCAAUGGGUCAGCAUCAAUUUUGACUGUUGGAAAAAGGUCAGGGGAAUGUGGCAUCUUCGGAUGUGUUAUAGCCCUUGGUUGUAUACAGCAGUUGGGAUUGAGGAACUCAGCACGCCGCAAGGCCGGGUUUUUAACCACGUACGUGCUUAGGAUGCUGGCAUAAUGGCUUUAAUCGACCCGUCUUGAAACACGGACCAAGGAGUCUAACAUGCCUGCGAGUGUUUGGGUGGAAAACCCAUGCGCGUAAUGAAAGUGAAAGUUGAGAUCUCUGUCGUGGAGAGCAUCGACGCCCGGACCAGACCUUUUGUGACGGUCCCGCGGUAGAGCAUGUAUGUUGGGACCCGAAAGAUGGUGAACUAUGCCUGAAUAGGGUGAAGCCAGAGGAAACUCUGGUGGAGGCUCGUAGCGAUUCUGACGUGCAAAUCGAUCGUCGAAUUUGGGUAUA